UACGAGGGGGGCAAGCGUUGUUCGGAAUUACUGGGCGUAAAGCGUGCGUAGGUGGUUUGUUAAGUCUGUUGUGAAAGCCCCGGGCUCAACCUGGGAAUGGCAAUGGAUACUGGCAAGCUAGAGUGCGGUAGGGGGUAGUGGAAUUCCCGGUGUAGCGGUGAAAUGCGUAGAGAUCGGGAGGAACACCAGUGGCGAAGGCGGCUACCUGGACCAGCACUGACACUGAGGCACGAAAGCGUGGGGAGCAAACAGG
rnacentral:rRNA from 1 species